CGGGAAGGUCUGUACAAGCUGCUGCCGCACUCGGAGUACAGCCGGCCCAACCGGGUGCCCUUCAACUCGCAGGGAUCCAACCCUGUCCGCGUCUCCUUCGUAAACCUCAACGACCAGUCUGGCAACGGCGACCGCCUCUGCUUCAAUGUGGGCCGGGAGCUGUACUUCUAUAUCUACAAGGGGGUCCGCAAGGCUGCUGACUUGAGUAAACCAAUAGAUAAAAGGAUAUACAAAGGAACACAGCCUACUUGUCAUGACUUCAACCACCUAACAGCCACAGCAGAAAGUGUCUCUCUCCUAGUGGGCUUUUCCGCAGGCCAAGUCCAGCUUAUAGACCCAAUCAAAAAAGAAACUAGCAAACUUUUUAAUGAGGAAUAUGACUUUUCUACCAAGUGGAAAAGAUAAGAACUCUUGUCAGCACUUGUGGAAGGUGGAUUGGAAUGAAGAAAGACAGAAUGAAGGUAGCAAGACCAGUGAGGAGGCUCUAGUAACUGUCCAGGUGAGAGCUGAGGGCUUGAACUAGAGUUGCUGCCAUUGUUUCAUUCAUUCACGACAGGCAAAACUUGCCCUCCUGUGACCCCUCUCAGGA
rnacentral:sRNA from 1 species